CAAACCCAACCCUUCUUCGCCUCGUUCAUGAUUGGCUGAGAAGUCUGAAGGAGAUUCACGGGAUAGCAAGAUGUCCGCGUUCAUUUGAAAAGGAGUGUUUAUUAUCGAUGAGUUCCCUCUUUUCUGUGUUCGUAUGUCGAUUUUUUAAUAAUGCAACAUAUAAAAGAAACCGGAAUCAUAUAAAGAAAAUACGAGGACUCCGAGCCAAGAGCCAUACAAUUUGUUAUUAACAGAAAUAAUGCUGAUAUCGGGAACUCAUGUCGAACGUCUAUGAAGAGAGAGCCACAAUGAUAGCCGCUGGGGAACUGCAGUCGUUUGUCCCGUUCGGUCGUGAGCACUGCAAAAAUCACCCGAACGCCGUUAACAUCCAGCUGCGACAGCUGCAGCCUGCGUCUGAGUUGUGGUCCUCAGAUGGCGCGGCCGGGCUUGUGGGGUCCCUUCAAGAGGUCACUCUUCAUGAGCGAGAGAAGGAAUCCUGGCAACUUAGAAAGGGUUCAGAUGGCGCUGGUGAUGAAAUUGAGUUUGAGGAGGAGCUUUAUGUGGCUGGCAACAUGGUUAUCUGGAGCCGUGGAACCAAAGGCCAAGCCUCCUGUGUCUACAAGGCAUUUACUGUGGACAGCACAGUGCAGCAGGCCUUGUGGUGCAACUUCAGGGUUCCACAAAAUAAAAAGUCCUCAAAGGAGAUUGUGGAGCAUACAGUUUGCAUUGCCCAGGACACGUGUGUGAAUGUCCACAGUGUGAGUGGGAAAGACUUCAUUGCUCCCCUACCUUUCCAGGUCUCCACGCUGUGGCCCACCAUGUUUGGCCUCCUGCUGGAGCGCAAAAACCUCACCUCUGAUAUUCCUAUGAGUCCUCCCAGCAGGGAGCCUCUCCCCUCUCUCUUCAGUAUGCUGCAUCCUCUGGAUGAGAUUGCUCCCCUGGUGUGCAGGUCAACAGCCCUGUUUGACCUUCCUCGCAUCCAGUAUGUGUCGGACAGCAUGCUGAGGGUGGUGUUUACCUCCUGCGACCCCUCCAUCAUCAUGACCUACGAUACAGUGCAGUGCACGCACACUGUGUGGCUGCUGCGCAAAGUCACUGUGGAGGAGCAGUCAGUGCUGCUGAAGUGCCCGGAACCCGGACCAGGAACAGGUGCUGCCAGCUUCCUGGGCGCACACCUGCGCAACGUCUCCCCCCUGGACUCGCCCGCCUCGCCACUUCACUGCCAUACCCUGCACAACCAGAGCCGCCUGGCGGCCUCUCCCAGUCUGCACUCCCGUGCCCACUCCCCUGGGAUAUCCAACAUGGCCGCCCUCAGCCGUUCCCACAACCCCGGCAUAGCUGCGCCAUCCUUCUGCAAUGCCCAGCGAUUCAACGUGUCGUGCCACUCACCGUCGCCCCGCGGGCACAGCCUGCUGGCCUCACCCAACAGCACCAUGAACGAGUCGGCACUGUUACCUGAGAGAGAGCCCAUCAUCCCGGACCUGUGCAUCGAGCAGCUGUGGAGUGAGACUUCCACCUCACACAGGGACAAGAGUUGCCAGACAUCUAAAGUGUUUAUCACCUCAGACCUGUGUGAGAACAAAUACCUGUGUUUCCUGGUGGAGUCUCAUCAAGAGCUCAGAUGUGUGAAAUUCCUAGAAAGUAACCAUCCACCCCAACUCCUCUUUGUGUCCGUGUCCAGUAUCCCAGCCAAGAAUGCUGCACCUUUGCAGGACCGUGACUGCAUGCUUGUCCUCGAGGUCAACGGGAGCCUGGUCUUAUACACUGGAGUUACACGGGUCAGUAAGGUGUUUGUGCCGGGCCUGCUGCCGCCGUCGCUCAGCGUGAUCAGCUGCCUGCCGCAUCACUGCAGCUCCAUGGACAGUGUCAGCACCCCGGCCAAGUCCACCGUCAGACACCUCAGCAACCUGGAGGAGAUUGGUGUGAUGCCCUCUCCUGUGGCCGACGGGAUGGGCGCAGUCAAGCACCACGAGACAUCCUGGGUGGAAGACUUCAACUUCCAGCAAACCGUGCCCCACGUGCACACACUCCGAGACUCCGUCAGCAGCAGAGUUACUCUGGAGCUGAGCAAUGGCUCAAUGCAGAGGAUAACCAUUCCCGAGAUAGCGACAUCGGAGCUCGUGAGACGAUGCCUUCAGGCCAUCCGCUUCAUUCUGCCCAAGGACAUGGCAAUGAAAGUGCUGGUCAAGUGGUACAAUACUUACAACGCCCCUGGUGGUCCCAGCACACACCAGGAGUGGAACCUGUUCCUCUCCUGCUUCAUGACGAUGAUGGGCUACAACACCGAUCGGCUGACGUGGACCCGCAACCUCCAUAUUGAAGUGCCUCUCUCCCCAGUCGCUCCGAAGAAGGCUAGACCUGCCGACACGGGCUCAGACGAGGACUGGGACUACCUGCGCAGCUCGGACUACCACUGGCAGCUGUCCAUGCAGCAUGUGGCGGGGGUGCCGGGGCUGGGCACUCUGGCGCCCUCUGGUGCCAGGGAAGAGCAGAUGUCUGUGCUGAGUGUGGACUCCUCGGCCCCUUUGUUUCAGCACAUCCCGUCCCUGUUCGCUGUGCUGCACCUGCUCUACGAAGACCUGAAGCUGGACGAGCUGCAAAGAAGUGGAGCCCGCUCCCUAGUGGGCCUCCUGCAGCAGAUGGCCAGAGACCUGCAGCUGGAGGAGUACAUUGAUCUGUACUGGCGCGAUUACCCCUCGUUCAUCAAAACGUUCCACGAGUCCUGCGUGAUCGACCAGGCCCAGAUGGAGCAGAUGACCCGGCCCUCGUUCCUGACGCCGGAGCCACCCUGUGUGUUUGGCUGGCUCCGCCACUGCCUCAGAGGGGAGGACGUGCCACCUUUCCCCUACCUGCCUGGCAUUUGCGAGAGGACCAAACUACUGGUGCUUAGUUACGCGUUGUACGUGGCUGGAGACAAGAAUGCGGUGUCGGAAAACGUCUCUAAAUACCUGGCCAAGAUCUCUGCAGGGCAGAAGAAGAACAUCUGUGAUCAAAUUCCCGAAAUCAGGAGAGAGAGCAGCGUGAAGUUUGAGGCCCCGCAGGGGAACCUGGCCGAGAGGCUGAUGGAGUGGCUGACCUCUGCUGGGUUCACUCUGAAGGACCUCGAGUCGGUACCAUUUGGGGCGGCCCUGCCAAUCAGAGAUGCCAUCUACCAGUGCCGAGAGCACCCGUGCUCUGAUUGGUCCGAAGAUGUUUGUGCACUGAUUGGACGGCAGGACCUCACCAAACAGGCACACAAAGUCACUCCUACCAAGGCCAAAACGUCGGUAGGCCUUGGGGGCGAGAUGCUUGAUGUGCCGGUGCCCAGUGAGGCUGACGAGGAGGAGGACGGCAUGGCGGACCUGGACCCCGAGGUGACGGGGCUGAUCUGGAGUCAGGACCUGCGCGUGCAGGAGGUGCGGCGGCUGCUGCAGAGCUCGCGGCCCGUCCGCGUCAACGUGGCCCAGCUGCCCGAGGUCAGCGAUCAUGAGUACAUCGAGGAGAAGGAGAACAAGCUCCUGCUGCUGUGCCAGCGCACCAUGGCACUGCCUGUUGGCAGAGGCCUCUUCACCCUGUUUUCCUACCGACCCGUGCCUACAGAACCCCUACCUGUGCCAAAGCUCAACCUCACUGGCCGGGCCCCUCCUCGUAACACCAUGGUGGACCUGAGCAGUGGCAACAUUGACGUGCCGGCCAACAUGACCAGCUGGGCCAGCUUCCACAACGGCGUGGCGGCGGGCCUGAAGAUUGCGCCUGCCUCGCAGGUGGAGUCGGCCUGGAUCGCCUACAACAAGCCCAAGAGCGCCGAGCUGGCCAACGAGUAUGCCGGCUUUCUUAUGGCCCUGGGCCUCAACGGCCACCUCACCAAGCUGGCCACGCUCAACAUCCACGACUACCUCACCAAGGGCCAUGAGAUGACCAGCAUCGGCCUGCUGCUGGGAGUGUCUGCUGCCAAGCUGGGCACCAUGGACAUGUCCAUCACACGGCUGCUCAGCAUCCACAUCCCCGCACUGCUGCCACCCACUUCCACCGAGCUGGACGUGCCGCACAGUGUCCAGGUGGCAGCCGUGGUUGGCAUCGGCCUCGUCUACCAGGGCACCGGGCACCGCCACAACGCAGAGGUGCUGCUCGCCGAGAUAGGUCGACCUCCAGGACCUGAGAUGGAGUACUGCACUGACCGGGAGUCCUACUCGCUUGCCGCAGGCCUGGCUCUGGGCAUGGUGUGUCUCGGGCAUGGCAGUAACCUGAUCGGCAUGACUGACCUGAACGUGCCUGAGCAGCUCUACCAGUACAUGGUGGGAGGGCACCGACGAACCCAUGCUGGCAUUAACAGGGAGAGGCACAAGUCCCCCAGCUACCAGAUCAAGGAAGGGGACACGAUCAACGUGGAUGUUACCUGUCCAGGUGCUACUCUGGCCUUGGCCAUGAUCUAUUUGAAAACCAACAACAGGUCAAUUGCUGAUUGGCUGAGAGCUCCAGACACCAUGUUCCUGCUGGACUUCAUCAAGCCUGAGUUCCUGCUCCUGAGGACCCUGGCCCGGUGCAUCAUCAUGUGGGAUGAGAUCUUGCCCAACGCUGAGUGGGUGGGCAGCAAUGUGCCCCAGAUUAUUCAGGAAAACAUCGGGACUGGUGAAGAAGUGCAAGUAUCACAGGACUUGAACAUGGAGACCUUGGCUCAAGCCCACGACUACAUCAUUGCUGGAGCCUGCAUGGCUGUGGGGUUCAGAUUUGCCGGCUCUGCCAACUCUGAUGCUUUUGACUGCCUGUACAAGUAUGCCAGGAUGUUCAUGCAGUCUCUGAAGGCGUCAGCUGCCACCAUUACGGGCCACUACAACGUGCAGACGUGCCUGAGCAUGGUGCUGCUGGCCGUGUCCAUGGUGAUGGCGGGCUCGGGGGACCUGAAGGUGCUGCAGCUGUGCCGCUUCCUGCACAAGCGCGUCGGCGGCGAGAUGAACUACGGCUUCCACAUGGCCCACCACAUGGCCCUGGGCCUGCUCUUCCUCGGGGGCGGGAGGUACACCCUGAGCACGUCCAACUCGGCCAUCGCUGCGCUGCUCUGUGCACUCUACCCCCACUUCCCCGUUCACAGCACCGACAACCGAUACCACCUCCAGGCCCUACGGCACCUCGGGGUCCUGGCUGCGGAGCCGCGUCUCCUUGUGCCAAUGGACGUGGACACUCUUAAGCCCUGCCACGUCUUAUUGGACGUCACCUACAAGGACACUAAAUGGUACGAUGAGGUGACUGUUGAGUUGAUGGCGCCAACCUUGUUGCCAGAGCUACACCUUCUUAAAGAGGUCAGAGUCAAGGGCCCUCGCUACUGGGAACUUACCAUCGACAUGAGCAAAGGCAUUCAGCAUCUCCAGUCCAUUCUCUCCAGGGACGGGGUUCUGUAUGUGAAGCUACGGGCGGGCCAGCUGCCCUAUAAAGACGACCCGCUGGGUCUGAACAGUCUUCUGGCACCCAACCCCGAUGUAAGCUCCUUUAAGCCUCAGGCCAUCUCGGCCUUCACCUCCGACGCGGCCUUGCUCUCCUUUGCCGAGUACUUCUGCCAAGCCUCCUCUGGCAGUGCUGCCAAACAUAAGCAGGCCUUAUUCUCCGCCAUCCUCUACGAGUGUGUGACUCAGGAGAACCCCGAGAUGCUGUCCACAUACAUGGCCAUUGAUCAGGCGGUGUGCGCGAUGGAGCGGAAGGAGGUGAGCGAGACGUUCUCUCUGGGCCAGAUGAAGCUGGUUCUGGAACUCUGCGAGAGCCGCGUGAUGCAGCAUCGCCUGACUGCACCGUCGCUGUCCCACAGGAAGGGCCGAGGGUGGGGCCGCGGCCUGCUGCUAACCUCCGAGUUCCUGCCCGUCAUGAAGAGCGCUGCGGACUCCGACCUCGAUCGCUGGUUGGCUGGUAACAGCCACGUGCUUCGGGCAUACAUGAGUGGCCAGCCUCUUGACGAACACACAGACACCAACAUGCUGGCCUGCUUCCUGAUCUACCACUCCCUCCCCAGCCUCAAGAAAAUGGCCUCCGCCCACCUCGAAGAGAGCGCAUCGUUCCCGGAGCUGCUGGUGAAGUGUGGUCAGCUGGGUGUGUCUGUUCGGGCCGUGCUCAGUCUGAGGGCUCUACUGCUGGGCUCAGUCGGUGCCGGGAUCCCUCAGCCGGUGCACUGACCCCUUCCUGCCCAAACCUUCCAUUCUAGACAAACGCCACCUCCCUCACGCCCACACUGAAGGACGUGUAUUAACAGGUCAUGCCAUGUGGGAAAGAAAGAAAGAAAGAAAAAAAUCAACGCUGCAUCCUUGCAGCAUGUAUAAUAUUUAUACUUAUGUUUGUACGGAAAACACAAAAAAAUUAUAAUCGCUGAGAUGCUAAGAAAUAAAAAAGAAACCAUCUGUUUUUUAAAUACUGAAGACCUCAGCCUUUUCUGUACAGGUUCUGUGAGUCACCUGACGCCGGUGUUUUGUACUUGUUGCCUGGCGCACAGUUGUUCAGCAUAUAAGCUUCACAGGCGCAUUCCUGUUCAAAUGAAAAACAUCCCUCAGCAAAUAAGCCUCAUCCCACGCUGUGCUAAAUACCAAGCUCUUCCCUCCCUUUCUGAAAUAGUUAUUUUUCUUUUAGCUUUGUUCCACUCAAAUAAGACUACAGCCUCCAUCCUCUCCAUCCUGGUGGUUUGUUCUCGCAUUCAUGGUCACUUUGACUUUUUUUUGGUCACUCAUUCCUGUAAUGCAGCACUUGAAGUCUCUUGGGCUUCUCUCUCCUCGCACCCUGCUGCAACGGAUAGCUGUGACACUAUCUGCCCUUAGGGUUUCCUCUGUGGUAGGGCUCUUGUGACACCUCUGAGGCCUGUGUGUGGGGGGGUGUCUGUCUUUUGGCAGGGAGGCCAAAUCCCCGUGGCUCAAUCAGGAAGCCCACACUGCCAUAUCUCUUGAGAUGGCAACCUGGCCUCGCCGGAUGUGGCAAGUUCACUAGUUUUAUUGCUCUGAGAUUGUCAUGUUCUUACUUACUGGGUGUGGGUGCGGGGGGUUCAUUUACACACUGACACGUGGUGUGUGUGUGUGUGUGUGUGUGUGUGAGCACUUAAUUGCUGUCUGGUUUCCUCCGUGUGAAGAUGAAAGCGGACUCUGCGGCAUGUAGUUGCCCCACAGGCUCAGUGUCCUGUGGCACAUUUCCCAGUGACUCCUCUCACAUGCCACAGUAAAACUAGGCUAACUCAGCCAGGACUGUAAUCAAACACACACAGGAGACUCAACAACUUUGCAAGCCUUCUUCUGGCCCUUGUUCUUUGUGGCCUUUAUUGUACCUCACCGCCUCCUCACAUUUUAAGUUUACAAUUGAGAUAGCUAUCAGUCUUCUUGAUUCAACUUUGUCCAGGGCAAAGAUAGACUGAGCUCUGAGACGCUCUGGGUUUUUUUUUGUUCUUGCUUCAUCAGAUCAAGGGAGGAAUCCAAGGCACGGCCCAGGAAACACUCAAGCCCUGUGGAAUCUGAAAAAUUAGAUUGAGCAACAGCAGUGGGUGGGCAUAAACAGCUUGUGAGAACAAGUAGACAUUUUAGUUUUCCAGACAUUCAGUAACUUUCUGAAGAUGUCACCAAGCCACACAUUUCCCCCCAUCCAUUGGUUAUAGUUUAAUGUAAGGGUGGAAUACACUGGAAUGGAACUAUGGAAGGUUUAAUAAAGACUAACGCUCAAAUAUGUGUGUGGAAUAAAAAAAUCUCUGACCCACUGGCAGGUUUCCUGACUAAAUGUCAAACCAAGACUUGCGUUUAUUAAUUGAUAGGUGUUGGGGUGCUCUGAAAAGCCAGUAACCGGUGCUGCCUGUGCAUGUGGGGACAAGUUUGCCCCUGAAAGAGUUGUCAGUCACCAUACAAAAUAUUGUAUGUCACUCACACACACCCCGACUGAGAAAUGUUACCACGCCCUUAUUCAAAACAAGUCUGCCUUGAAGUUCUCAAGGGAAAUCAGCUUUUGUAGUUUGCUGGGAAAAGGAGGUACAAUUAAGACGUUUCCAUUCUGGAGGUCUUGGCAGCAGUAGGACACUGUUGCCAUAGGAAGAAGAAAAAUAUUGAAAAGGUUCUACAUAUUUCCAAGAUUUCCAUUAUUGCAGGCAGAAGUAUGCAUACAGUGGUUUGGGAUGGGAAGGGCCAGUUGUCACAUCAUGAACAGUUUGAGCCCAGAGUUCUUCAUUCACAAUCAUUUCAGAUACGGGCCGUUGUAACAGGUUCUCACUCAGUGUUUAACAUGAAGUGGGUGUGACCUUACUGCGCAAAGAGAAAGUCGCGGUCCUCAACCCUCAACGCUAUGAAUGACUCAUGUCCAGAGCAAGUUAAAGAAACAACGAUUUCAAGAAAAAAAAGAUGAGGACAAGAGAGAUGAGACUCGGAAGACCAAAGUACGUGCCAUUGAAAUAUCUCUUACAUUUGCCAACUCGAAGAGAACUUUACAAGACCAACAACUGCGGAAAGUUUGACCCGCGACUCUUGCAACGCUCUCAGAAUAAACGGUCACGCCAGAGGGACGUCGCUACGCAGAGACCACAAGCCUGCCCAGACACGGAGGAGGUCAAACUUCUGCCUCAGAGGCAGCUGGGCUCAUGUGGAAGUAGGCAGACGAGAAAGCAAAUCGCUGCUGGGCUUGAAAUUACUCCCACCAAAUUGCUGACGAGUCUCUUCUUUAUUUUUUCUCUUUGCCACUGACACACUGAAACGCUUGCGGUCUAAGCUGGAGUGAAGAGCUGUGGGGAGUCCGACCGAGAGAGUCCAUCCCAGCAGUGUGUCACUGGCCCCAGGCAUGGCUGCAGGGCUUCGUCAUGCACACAUGUGGACAACAGAGGGGGAAACUACUGGACAGAGGGGGAAACUAGAGGCAGCUCAAUGUGGGGUACGA